UUAUUAUACUACAUAGGCGUUUGCUAUUGUUCGGCAAGCUGCCAGGAGGAAGCUUGGCAUGCACCAUUACAUAUGGUUGUUUUAAUUGGAGAAUGUUAACUUAAUUGUAUUCUUAUAAAGUUCAAUGAGUUUGUUACUCUAUUUUAUGCGAUGGAAUAUUUAAUUUGGUUGAUAAACCUGAUUAGAGUGUGGUCUAGAUUAUUGGUGGUGCAGUUUAAUGACAGGUCUAUUGCUGAGAUGAAAACGAGAUAGGGAAAAACACUGGUCUCAACAUUGGCUGCAUAUCGUAACACCUUGACUGGCGAGGGUGUUCAUGGGGAGAUCUUGUUCAAGUAGAUACUUGGGUAGCCCCAAAUGAUAAAAACGGUAUGCGCCGUGUGAUUAUAAAACAGGCGAGGAGGUUUUAACAAGAGCCUUGAACACCGCAAAUUCUUAUGGCAGUCGAAGAGGUUGUGCGGACGAAAAUACAUUGUACAUGAGCUUCAUGGUCAGUUUGAUAAACUCACAGGAAGAAGUCAGCUUCCAAGUGGAGAGAGUUGUCAUCUAAUCAGCAUGCUCAACGACCAGCUAUAUUAAGGUGUAUUCUACUAUGGUGCACCAGGUGUAUUGACCACCAAAUUCGAAUUCUACAAGGAGCUCUUUUUAAGGUGAUAUAAAUGUAAAUGUACAAUUAUAGUAAGAACGGAGGAUAAUGGUCUUAUGUGAGUACAUGCGGUGGGAAUCAAGAGGUGACAGUUGGCACGCACAAUGGGAGUGGUGGGAUCAACAUCCACUUCCAUCUAGAAAAUUUGACAUUUCGAGUUGGAAUUGGUGCAGAUGUAAUGUUGUAGGUCUUAUUGUUUACAUAUUAAAUAAAUGAAGGUGACUGAUUUCUUUUUAUUUAUUUCAAAUUUCAAAAUGACGAAAGAGGUCAUGUCUAAAUAUGUACUCUGAUUACGACUUUAAAGAGGUUCUGCAACUCAGACGUUAGCAGCGCCUACUGCAAGUAAUGCUUCUUCCACUUUUUCCCUAUUUUCCUAAAGUGGUUCAUGCCCCUUUGGCGUAGGUAUUCAGCCUGGCAUGAGGCAGAAUAUGAAUGAAGUUCUUACACGACUUAAAUCGGGGCCUGAAGGAACCUGUCGUUAAUGUCUGGGCAUUGAUUAGAGCUCUAUUGAGCUGAUAUUCGCGAUCCCCACAAAUUUAUAAACAUCAGUUUCAGUUGUAUAAAAUAGUCUACUUUCAAUGUAUAAGGAUGCAUAUAUUAUCAUAUUACUGCCAAACAUACCUUUUUUUAAUUAUGUCUGGUUUAUUUAUUUGUUGAGUAUCAAAAU